AGGUUUGGACCGGUGCACCAGAUUAUAUAAGAUUUCUAUUGCACUUGUCCCGGCCUUC
rnacentral:pre_miRNA from 1 species